rnacentral:rRNA from 1 species
CGUCAAGUCAGCAUGGCCUUUAUGUCUGGGGCUACACACGUGCUACAAUGGCCGGUACAAACCGUCGCGAUACCGCAAGGUGGAGCUAAUCGGAGAAAGCCGGUCUCAGUUCGGAUUGCAGGCUGCAACUCGCCUGCAUGAAGUUGGAAUCGCUAGUAAUCGCGGAUCAGCACGCCGCGGUGAAUACGUUCCCGGGCCUU